CCAGAGAUGGAUUGGUGCCUUCGGGAACUCUGAGACAGGUGCUGCAUGGCUGUCGUCAGCUCGUGUUGUGAAAUGUUGGGUUAAGUCCCGCAACGAGCGCAACCCUUAUCCUUUGUUGCCAGCGGUUCGGCCGGGAACUCAAAGGAGACUGCCAGUGAUAAACUGGAGGAAGGUGGGGAUGACGUCAAGUCAUCAUGGCCCUUACGAGUAGGGCUACACACGUGCUACAAUGGCGCAUACAAAGAGAAGCGACCU
rnacentral:rRNA from 1 species